UCAUGUAUUUGCCAGUAAAGUGGAACAAUUUAAUCAAAGCAAGGAAAUUUGCUUUGAGUUCGUUACUGCCACUAAAGUUUGUAUAUAAUCUGUUAAUAAAGACUGAUACCACCAAUAAGUUAUGUGGAUGCACAUCUAGUUUUGCGAUUAAACAUGUAACUAACUAUACACAAAAUAAAGAAUAGCUCAUUACACGAAGAAUUGGUAAUAAAAAGGAGUGUGAUGGUUAGUAAGUUUUUCACUAAUCCCCAUGAUAAUUGAGGCUGCAAGUACCUCUGAAAUGUUGGUAAAAUAAGACUGCCAGAAAUUACAAAGGAUUUUCUAUCUACUCAGCUGUAAAGCUUGAUAUUAUUAUUAAGUGAUAAGUAACAUAAUUGCUGAAAAGAAACUUUCUUUCAGAGACUGUUUACAUCGUUGUAGAAGACCUCUAUUUCAUGUAGUUGCCAUUGGAAGGUUUGCCUUUUUUAUUUGAGUUGUUCGUACUUGCAAUGCCAAGCAUUCUGAAUAAGAGUUUCAGAACUGACUAUGGCUGUACAUUAAAAAAGUCUGUGUGUACUGUUUCACAAAGUUUUAGAAUUUUAAACUUUACACUGUGGUGUGUAGUUUCUAAACUAGUUAACUGGUGUAAAUUAAUUGGAAUUGUAGUAAUCUGCGUUAUGACAGUUUGUAGUCCUGUUUGUGGUUACCAAGGUUUUGCAGAAACCUAUGACCUCCAUCUUAAAUCCUGACUACAUAACUUAAUACCGUGGAAGACUGUGGCCCACAUUUACACUGUUAUGAAAGCCUCAUCUCAUGUUGAUUUAAAUUACGUCUGGAAUAAAUAUUUGUUGAAUAACUGCAAAUCAUGGAGAAGUGAAAUAUGUAAUUUUCUCCAGCCUGCUAUCAUUUCUUUGGCGUUCAAUUCAAACAUUCCCUUCAUCGCCCAAUUCUCGAACACUCCGAGUAUUGCUCUUCCCUUAAUGGAAAGGACCGAGUUCAAAUGUAUGUAUUAUACAUUUUAUAUUAGGCACUGAGUGUGGAGUCUCCCAAAUGCUUGAACUAUCAGAAUUCAGGUGGAUGCACGUGGCAUGCCUGGCAGAUAAACCAGAGUGUGUGAAGACUCUCCUGGUUGCUGGAGCAGAUGUGAAUAUUGCUGCCUCUCAAGCAAGUGUACGUUCCCCCUCAUCAUCGACUGUGUCCCCGGGAUUUGUGGGAGAUUUCCUGCAUGGAAAUUCCAACAAAUUGCAUACUCAGAUUUGCGAGUUGCACGAGCUCUAAUUUGAUUUUUUUGGAUGGAAGUAUUCAUGCACAUUGCGAAAAAGGAAGUUUAUGAAAGUCACAUGGUUUGCACUUGGGCGACAGGAGAAGAAAUAUCAGCCUCAAAAUAAGUAAACAUAUGAUUCAUUGAUAGGACUUGGAAUAGCGGAAUGAAAAACAGCAAUGGUGAAGCCUCUUAGAAAUCAGACGGGAAGACCAAAUAUUUUGAACUGAGAAGUAGCAAGCAUUUCUAUGGACCCAGCUGCUAGAAUCGGCUUGUUCUUACAUAGCUCCAGUCCUGAUGUCUAAUGGAUCGUAAUGAAAAGGAAAUUCUCAGCAGUGUUGAAGUUCGCGAUGUGAUGAGUGAUAUUUCUGCUCCAGUUUUCAGAUGUUGUCCCUUUGUAAUUCAACUUAUAAUAUUAAUAGUUUAUUUGAAUCUCCGCAAUAAAUGUUGUUUUGUUAUUUACCAGUGAAACAUA